rnacentral:lncRNA from 1 species
GGAGGGGGUGCUGCGGCAUCCGCGAUGAUAGAGAAGAACUUGACGUCCUUGACGUCAGUAGUCGAGAUUCGGACGUCGGCGUCGUCGAGGGCGUGCUCCAUGGCAGAGGCGGGUUGGAUGUUGGCAAUGAUAUCGCAGAGGAGGUGGAUCUUUGGGUCUUCAAUCUCCGACAAGGGGUGGCAGCGGCGGCCCCGGCGACUACA